UUUUAAAUAUUAUAAUGAAUUUGACCAAAACUUUUUCUCAAUGUUUACGUUUGGCAGUUAGACCCUCUUCAAAUUUUUGGGUAGAAUUUAGUUUAGUUGUUGCAAUCAAUUUCAUUUGGUUUGCUUUUUUGCUGAAUCACAACGUCCGCUCCAGUUGCAGCUGUUUCGUCCCGUCCGGCACCGAGUCAACCGAUGGUCCAGCCUGCGACGCGCUCGGCUGUUGCUACGUCAAUGGCAGCCACCAGCCAGGGACUUGGAUUAAAGUCAAAAAUAUCAGGUACGCCAGGUGGUGUUGCUGCAAUCGGUUUGCCGUCGGACAUUCCCCUAACCAGAAUAUUCAGCGGUUCCGAUUCGAAGGAGGCAGCCACAGAAGCACAGACUGCUUUGGUUCAGCAAUACGCUCCGGCAGGACGAUGCUCGUGGAAGAUCACGCAGUUCCGGUCCUGUGCACAAGAACAGGCCGAUUUGACCCUGUGCGAAGGUUUCAACGAGUCGCUCAGGCAUUAGUAGCAGAGUCCUUGCACCUACAGCUUGUCCAGUGAGCAAUUCUGACGAAACCACACCGUUCGCACCAAGUUGGAUCACAAUAAUAAGUGCGACGUCGAGAAGAAGACUUCCCGAGAGCUACAAGCAAUGCUACAAGAUUAAAUAGCAGGGUGUUUUUAACGUGACCAUAGUAUAACGUAGCGGAUUUAGACAGAUUUAUCCCGCAGAAUAAGAUAGCAAAAUUACCCAAAAAGUAAGAGCUGACAGCCGAAGUGAAGAAACACACAUCCUCUACAGAGGCAAGCAAUAACGGAACGUGUAAUUCCUCACAAUGAAUUGCUCUCGUCGUUAGAUUAAAUCCCAGGAAGUACAAUUUUCAUUGCAUUAUUUAGUCAACCGAAAUUGAAGUCCUCAGUCGAGAGAGAGAGAGAGAGAGAGAGAGAGAGAGAGAGAGAGAGAGAGAGAGAGAGAGAGAUUGAUAGGGUAGCAGCAGCUAGGAAUUAUCUUUCGAAAGCUAGCAGCGGUCGUGACCAGAACCACCACCGACGCGGAACUCAAAAAGGCGCACAAAAAACGCGCUACGAUGGCACCCAGAUAAAAAAAUCCAGAAGAAUUUACGGUUUCAGGAGAUCUGAAAACAUAUAAAGUGCUGUCAGAUGAGAAAAUUCGACGCAUCUAUGACCAGUACGACAAGGAGGGUCUGAUGACCAACAGUUUCCGAGCGGCACUACCAUAACACACGGCACCGGCGACACAUUUAUAUCCACAACAUACUAAUGACUUAUCCUUCCGAAAAAGUGAAUAAAAUCUACUCUAUUUAAGCAACAAA